UCAAGCAAUCUCGGGCUUGGUUAGUACUUGGAUGGGUGACCGCUUGGAAAUACCAAGUGUGAUAAGAA
rnacentral:rRNA from 1 species